GGGGGCAUAGCUCAGUUGGGAGAGCGCCUGAAUGGCAUUCAGGAGGUCAUGGGUUCGAGUCCCACUGUCUCCA
rnacentral:tRNA from 1 species